GUCUCUUUUGGGGACAUCUAAUAGAAUUGGAAUGGUGUAGAGAAGAUUAGCAUGGCCCUUGCAAAAGGAUGACACGUCACACACACAAAUCGACAAUACCUUA
rfam:Cucumis melo, WGS project CAJI01000000 data, contig: 06185